GAUGUGACUCGUGAAGGAAGGAGACUGAACGCAGCCUGAGGUUGGGGGCUACGGUCCAGUACUCAAGGGGAGUCCUCUCUAGGGGGUUACCUUGGUUCUCCAGCUGGGACUGACUCAGGUAAUCCUAUUAUGAUGCUCAUUUAACAGAAGAAGAAACUAGGGAUCAGAGUGCUUCAGCAGAUCUUCUAAGGUCACAUAGCCAGAAAACAGUAAAGCCGUGCCAUGUGUUUAGCAGCAAAGACAGAGUCUCAAGAAACGAGUAUCUGACGCGUAAACAGAGCAUGUCUGAGGCUGCAGAUAAAUGAUGAACUGUUGGAACACUGAACCAAAUGGUGAAAAAAAUUUAAAAACACCUUCCAUCCGGUAAGACCGUAAACGUAAAUAAUAGCUUGUGGUAACAAUGGCUAGCGUGGACCACAGGUUGUACUAAGAGCUUUGCCAACAUCACUCUCAUUCAUCUUCAUCACAAUGAGCAGAAUCCCCAUUUUAUUUUAUUUUCUUGAGACAAGGGUCUCACUGUCUCACCCAGACUGGAGUGCAGUGGCACAAUCUCGGCUCACCACAACCUCCACCUCCCAGGCUCAAGCAAGAAUCCCCAUGUUAUAGCUGAGAAGGCUGAGCCUUCAAGAGGGCAUUUUGCCAAUGACCCUGCGGCUAAUACAUCACACAGCCAGCCCUGAAGCACAGCACCUUGCGACUCCCCUCCUGCGCUGCCUCUGGGUUGGUGGGUUAGGUUCCCUUCCCUGUUUGCUUUGAUGAGAGAGGCCCUUUAUCUGAGUAUGACAAAGCAAUCACUACUUCCCAGUCCCCUCAACAGUCCCUGGCGCUCUGUCCUUCUGGUCUCUUUCCUAACCAGCUCCUGGGUCCUGGGCAUUCCAUCCUCUUUCGAGCUCUGCUUUGUUCCCUGCUGGUCAGCUCUCUACUUCC